rnacentral:misc_RNA from 1 species
GUGUUUCACUGGCAACGGCAACCUGCAAACGUUGAAGAGCUUAGAUUAAUAAAGUAAAACAUGUAAUUUACCAGCUAUUUAAUAAAUUAAUUAACUUGUUAGAACAGAAAAUAAAAAUAGCGUAAGUGUGCCAUAGCGCUUAGCUGCUUUUCUUUUCUUUACAUUACAUGAAAUGUUAAAUGCCUGUCCGAUGGCCAAUAAAUGCAAAUAUUGUGAUAGGUAUGAAUAAUGGAGAUCCGCAAAAGAAUCCAGACAAUUCAAGCACUUAAGCAACGUUUG